rnacentral:rRNA from 1 species
CAAGGAAUUUUCGGCAAUGGGCGCAAGCCUGACCGAGCAACGCCGCGUGCGGGAUGACGGCCUUCGGGUUGUAAACCGCUUUUCGAGGGGACGAUUGUGACGGUACCCUCGGAAUAAGGCUCGGCUAACUCUGUGCCAGCAGCCGCGGUAAGACAGAGGAGCCAAGCGUUGUCCGGAUUGACUGGGCGUAAAGCGCACGCAGGUGGUCGCGCAAGUGCCGUGUGAAAGCCGGCGGCUUAACUGCCGGAGGCCAUGGCAGACUGGGUGACUCGAGGCCGUGAGAGGUCCGUGGAAUUGCCGGUGUAGUGGUGAAAUGCGUAGAGAUCGGCAGGAACACCAAGGGAGAAAUCAGCGGACUGGCACGGUUCUGACACUGAGGUGCGAAAGCGUGGGGAGCGAACUGG